GGACCCGCACAAGCAGUGGAGCAUGUGGUUUAAUUCGACGCAACGCGAAGAACCUUACCAGCGUUUGACAUGGGAAGUACCGGUUACAGAAUGGUAACCUUCAGUUCGGCUGGCUUCCGCACAGGUGCUGCAUGGCUGUCGUCAGCUCGUGUCGUGAGAUGUUGGUUAAGUCCCGCAACGAGCGCAACCCUUAUCGUUAGUUACUAACAGUUCGGCUGAGGACUCUAGCGAAACUGCCGGUGAUAAGCCGGAGGAAGGUGGGGAUGACGUCAAGUCCUCAUGGCCCUUACACGCUGGGCUACACACGUGCUACAAUGGCCGGUACAGAGAGCAGCCACUACGCGAGUAGGAG
rnacentral:rRNA from 1 species